rnacentral:rRNA from 1 species
GAUGAACGCUGGCGGCGUGCCUAAUACAUGCAAGUCGAGCGAACAGACGAGGAGCUUGCUCCUCUGACGUUAGCGGCGGACGGGUGAGUAACACGUGGAUAACCUACCUAUAAGACUGGGAUAACUUCGGGAAACCGGAGCUAAUACCGGAUAAUAUAUUGAACCGCAUGGUUCAAUAGUGAAAGACGGUUUUGCUGUCACUUAUAGAUGGAUCCGCGCCGCAUUAGCUAGUUGGUAAGGUAACGGCUUACCAAGGCAACGAUGCGUAGCCGACCUGAGAGGGUGAUCGGCCACACUGGAACUGAGACACGGUCCAGACUCCGACGGGAGGCAGCAGUAGGGAAUCUUCCGGAAUGGGCGAAAGCCUGACGGAGCAACGCCGCGUGAGUGAUGAAGGUCUUCGGAUCGUAAAACUCUGUUAUUAGGGAAGAACAAAUGUGUAAGUAACUAUGCACGUCUUGACGGUACCUAAUCAGAAAGCCACGGCUAACUACGUG